AUGUUCCCUUCAGUAGCACAUAUACUAAAAUAGGAAUGAUACUGAGAAGAUUAGCAGGGCCCCUGUAAAAGGAUGACAUGCAAAUUCAUGAAACAUUCCAUUAAAAA
rnacentral:snRNA from 1 species